AAGACUGGGAGACUAUUACAGACACGGGGUAAGGUGACAUAUCAACUACACACAACGGAAAAUUCUGGAUUGGGUCCUGGAACAGAAAAAAAGAACAUUAGUGAAAACUGGUGAAAUUCAAAUAGGAACUGUUGCUUAUUUGAUAAUAUCAUACUGAUGUUAAUACCCUGUUCUUCACAAUUUUACUAUGAUCAUGUAAGAUCUUUGCUUGAGAGGGAGUGAAGUGAGGGAUCUAAGGGAACUCUUGUACUAUGCUACUUUCCUCUAAGUCUAAAAUUGUUUUUCAGUUUGCCUUUUUUUUUUUUUAACUAGGAAACAAUCUGCAUCAAUCGUAGAGGAGGUUUCAGCAGAUUUUUUGUCAGUUCCCAAAACACUUGCUGCAGACAUCUGGGGACACCAGAACUGACUCCAAGAACUCAUGGGGAGUAUCUUCUGUGCACAAAAGAAUUUUCUGCUUCCCUGCAGAGAAAUUCUCUAAUGGCCACUGAAGGACCCUAAGGGACAGACGGGUGCAGCUGUGACCAGGAUGCAUUCUGGAUUAAGAGCAAGAAGUACACUGGAGCAUAUUUCAACUCAGUGCCAGAAUCUGACGUGGAAUGGCAGAAUGAAUGCAGCCAACUACAGUAAAGGGCAAGAGGAAUCCCACGGGCCACAGCUACUCAGCAUUUAAGCUACUUUUGUGGAGGACUGCAGGUAAAUUACAGCUUUGUGAAAUGGUCAGUGCUACUCACAAAAUGCUGUCAAACUGUGAAUUACAGAAGCCUUUGAUGGAGGUAAUAAAGAUCAAAUAACAUUGCCUUUCCUUUUCCAGACUGCCUUU